rnacentral:rRNA from 1 species
AGCAGUCGCCGCGGGAAUACGGAGGGUGCAAGCGUUAUCCGGAUUUAUUGGGUUUAAAGGGUCCGUAUGCGGAUCUGUAAGUCAGUGGUGAAAUCUCACAGCUUAACUGUGAAACUGCCAUUGAUACUGCAGGUCUUGAGUAAAUUUGAAGUGGCUGGAAUAAGUAGUGUAGCGGUGAAAUGCAUAGAUAUUACUUAGAACACCAAUUGCGAAGGCAGGUCACUAAGAUUUAACUGACGCUGAUGGACGAAAGCGUGGGGAGCGAACAGGAUUAGAUACCCCCGUAGUCCCUGUCUCUUAUAC